ACAUCUGUGGAUGCCUUCAUGUUCUGUUGUAGCCGUACACGUGUCCGACCUCUACGGAUAUCCAUACAAGGCCUGAUCUAAUCGGAGGCUCUUUGUUCUCUCUAAGGUGCUAGCUUCCUUACAGAGAAUGCUUCUUUGAUGGUUGAACAGCGUCUCCUUCAAUCUCUAAGAUAAUCUCAAGAAGGAAGAAGAAAUGAGGA
rnacentral:lncRNA from 1 species